rnacentral:piRNA from 1 species
UGGGAGAGCAAGGAGCCAGCAAGUCUAGA